rnacentral:rRNA from 1 species
AUUGAACGCUGGCGGCAGGCCUAACACAUGCAAGUCGAGCGGGGUUUUCGGACCUAGCGGCGGACGGGUGAGUAAUGCGUAGGAAGCUACCCGAUAGAGGGGGAUACCAGUUGGAAACGACUGUUAAUACCGCAUAAUGUCUACGGACCAAAGUGUGGGACCUUCGGGCCACAUGCAAUCGGAUGCGCCUACGUGGGAUUAGCUAGUUGGUGGGGUAAUGGCUCACCAAGGCGACGAUCCCUAGCUGGUUUGAGAGGAUGAUCAGCCACACUGGAACUGAGACACGGUCCAGACUCCUACGGGAGGCAGCAGUGGGGAAUAUUGGACAAUGGGCGCAAACCUGAUCCAGCCAUGCCGCGUGUGUGAAGAAGGCCUUCGGGUUGUAAAGCACUUUCAGUAGGGAGGAAGCGUUGUGUGUUAAUAGUACACAGCGUUGACGUUACCUACAGAAGAAGCACCGGCUAACUCUGUGCCAGCAGCCGCAGUAAAAC